CCGCAACGUAACAAAAUGUUUGACUAGCAGGCUUCUUGUUUGAAAGCCCAUAUCAGCAAGUUUUUCACAGUGUUUGAGGCAGAAAAGGAGGGAAAUAAAUGCUUGCCUAACAUCAGUAGGAGCGUGGUCUCAUCUGUACCAGACGAAAACCUUUAGGACAGUUACUGUAAAAAAAGGAGCCAUUUGCAGGAGUGAACAAGGUUCUCCAAGACUCCAUUGUUCCUUUCCGUGCAGAAGACUUGCAAAGUAUCCAAGUAUUCGUCUCACACAACAUAAACUUCAAUCACCAAGUCCACCGCAAGAGGAGUUUGAGCACAAGAAGAAAAUGGUGCAGCAAGUUCCAAGAACAGCCGCUAGGAUGCAGUUUUACGACGUUUCAGUUUGCAAUAGUUUAUAAUACCUUUGGCAUACCAGGUCAAACUGUAUUUCUCAAGUUGGGAUUUUUGCCCCUUGUCUUAAUUCAUGUUAUUUAAUGCUUAAUCUGUUUGACUUUCAUUGUUUAACAUUUUAGUAAUGCUCCAGGGCACUUUAGCAAAACUAAAACUGAAGACCUAGGAAGACAAAAAAAUCAAAGAACGCAUAGCUGAAAUUAAUGCAGAUCUUAAAAUACACAGGGUAGGACUGCAGGAACCAAUAUCUGAAGUUGAACAAGAGGUGAGGCGAGCA
ensembl:lncRNA